rnacentral:ncRNA from 1 species
UCAAAAAAUAAAAAAUUAGGACCCAGGAAGGUCCGUGGCAGGUGUUGACACAAUGUGAUUUCUGCUCAGUGCUCUGAAUGUCAAAGUGAAGAAAUUCAAUCAACUGUAGGGUAAACAACGGGAAUCACUAUGACUCUCUUAAGGUAGCUAAAUGCUUCCCCAUCUAAUUAGUGACACUUGUGAAUGGAUGAAUGAGA